UCUCCGUUGGUGAACCAGCGGAGGGAUCAUUACCGAGUUUACAACUCCCAAACCCCUGUGAACAUAUCAUUUGUUGCCUCGGCGGUGCCUGCUUCGGCAGCCCGCCAGAGGACCCAAACCCUUGAUUUUAUACAGUAUCUUCUGAGUAAAUGAUUAAAUAAAUCAAAACUUUCAACAACGGAUCUCUUGGUUCUG
rnacentral:misc_RNA from 1 species